GAGUUUGAUCAUGGCUCAGGACGAACGCUGGCGGCGUGCUUAACACAUGCAAGUCGAACGGUGACCUCAAGAGCUUGCUUUUGAGCGAUCAGUGGCGAACGGGUGAGUAACACGUGAGUAACCUGCCCCAGACUCUGGAAUAACAUCUGGAAACAGUUGCUAAUACCGGAUACGACACGAACAGGCAUCUGUAUCGUGUGGAAAGAUUUAUCGGUCUGGGAUGGACUCGCGGCCUAUCAGCUUGUUGGUGAGGUAACGGCUCACCAAGGCGACGACGGGUAGCCGGCCUGAGAGGGCGACCGGCCACACUGGGACUGAGACACGGCCCAGACUCCUACGGGAGGCAGCAGUGGGGAAUAUUGCACAAUGGGCGCAAGCCUGAUGCAGCGACGCCGCGUGAGGGAUGACUGCCUUCGGGUUGUAAACCUCUUUCAGUAGGGAAGAAGCGAAAGUGACGGUACCUACAGAAGAAGCACCGGCUAACUACGUGCCAGCAGCCGCGGUAAUACGUAGGGUGCGAGCGUUGUCCGGAAUUAUUGGGCGUAAAGAGCUUGUAGGCGGUUUGUCGCGUCUGCUGUGAAAAUCCGAGGCUCAACCUCGGACUUGCAGUGGGUACGGGCAGACUAGAGUGUGGUAGGGGAGACUGGAAUUCCUGGUGUAGCGGUGAAAUGCGCAGAUAUCAGGAGGAACACCGAUGGCGAAGGCAGGUCUCUGGGCCCACUACUGACGCUGAGAAGCGAAAGCAUGGGUAGCGAACAGGAUUAGAUACCCUGGUAGUCCAUGCCGUAAACGUUGGGCGCUAGGUGUGGGACUCAUUCCACGAGUUCCGUGCCGCAGCUAACGCAUUAAGCGCCCCGCCUGGGGAGUACGGCCGCAAGGCUAAAACUCAAAGGAAUUGACGGGGGCCCGCACAAGCGGCGGAGCAUGUGGAUUAAUUCGAUGCAACGCGAAGAACCUUACCAAGGCUUGACAUAUACCGGAAACACCUAGAGAUAGGUGCCCCGCAAGGUCGGUAUACAGGUGGUGCAUGGUUGUCGUCAGCUCGUGUCGUGAGAUGUUGGGUUAAGUCCCGCAACGAGCGCAACCCUCGUUCUAUGUUGCCAGCGCGUAAUGGCGGGGACUCAUAGAAGACUGCCGGGGUCAACUCGGAGGAAGGUGGGGAUGACGUCAAAUCAUCAUGCCCCUUAUGUCUUGGGCUUCACACAUGCUACAAUGGCCGGUACAAUGGGCUGCGAAAUCGCGAGAUGGAGCGAAUCCCAAAAAACCGGUCUCAGUUCGGAUUGGGGUCUGCAACUCGACCCCAUGAAGUCGGAGUCGCUAGUAAUCGCAGAUCAGCAACGCUGCGGUGAAUACGUUCCCGGGCCUUGUACACACCGCCCGUCAAGUCACGAAAGUCGGUAACACCCGAAGCCGGUGGCCCAACCUUUUGGAGGGAGCCGUCGAAGGUGGGACUGGUGAUUGGGACUAAGUCGUAACAAGGUA
rnacentral:rRNA from 1 species